CUAACGCGAUAAGCAUCCCGCCUGGGGACUACGGCCGCAAGGCUAAAACUCAAAUGAAUUGACGGGGGCCCGCACAAGCGGUGGAGCGUGUGGUUUAAUUCGAUGCUAAGCGAAGAACCUUACCAGGGCUUGACAUGCUGGUAGUAGGAACCCGAAAGGGUGACGAUCUCGGGGUAACUCGGGAAGCCUUCACAGGUGCUGCAUGGUUGUCGUCAGCUCGUGCCGUGAGGUGUUGGGUUAAGUCCCGCAACGAGCGCAACCCUUGUCGCUAGUUAUAUUCUCUAGCGAGACAGCCUCUCACAAGGAGGAGGAAGGUGGGGAUGACGUCAAAUCAUCAUGGCCCUUAUGCCCUGGGCUACACACACGCUACAAUGGCCGGUACAAUGGGCUGCGAAAGCGCGAGCUGGAGCUAAUCCCACCAAAGCCGGCCUCAGUUGGGAUUGCAGGCUGCAACCCGCCUGCAUGAACGUGGAAUCGCUAGUAACCGCAGGUCAGCACACUGCGGUGAAUACGUUCCCGGGCCUUGUACACACCGCCCGUCACGUCAUGGAGGCCGAGAACGAUUGAAGUCGCUGAGCUAACCCUUCGGGGAGGCAGGCGCCGAGGUCGGGUUUGGUGACUGGGACGAAGUCGUAACAAGGUAACCGUA
rnacentral:rRNA from 1 species